GCACUGACGAAGAGUCCCAUACUAGGACGAAACAGCUUUCCAGUGC
rfam:Schistosoma mattheei strain Denwood, Zambia genome assembly, scaffold: SMTD_scaffold0005461